UACGUAGGAUGCAAGUGUUGUCCGGAAUUACUGGGCGUAAAGGGCGAGCAGGUGGCACUACAAGCCUGAUGUAAAAUCUCCCGGCUUAACUGGGAGGGGCCAUUGGAAACUGUAGAGCUGGAGUGCAGGAGAGGCUAACGGAAUUCCCGGUGUAGUGGUGAAAUGCGUAGAUAUCGGGAGGAACACCAGUGGCGAAGGCGGCUCACUGGCCCGGUACUGACGCUGAGGUGCGAAAGCGUGGGGAGCAAACAGG
rnacentral:rRNA from 1 species